UACAGAGGGUGCGAGCGUUAAUCGGAAUUACUGGGCGUAAAGCGCACGUAGGCGGUUUGUCGCGUCGGGAGUGAAAUCCACUGGCUUAACUGGUGGCUUGCUUUCGAUACGGGCAGACUGGAGGUAUGCAGGGGAGAACGGAAUUCCUGGUGUAGCGGUGAAAUGCGCAGAUAUCAGGAGGAACACCGGUGGCGAAGGCGGUUCUCUGGGCAUGUCCUGACGCUGAGGAGCGAAAGUGUGGGGAGCGAACAGG
rnacentral:rRNA from 1 species